rnacentral:rRNA from 1 species
UACGUAGGGUGCGAGCGUUGUCCGGAAUUAUUGGGCGUAAAGAGCUCGUAGGCGGUGUGUCACGUCGGCCGUGAAAACCUGCAGCUUAACUGUGGGCGUGCGGUCGAUACGGGCAUCACUGGAGUUCGGCAGGGGAGACUGGAAUUCCUGGUGUAGCGGUGAAAUGCGCAGAUAUCAGGAGGAACACCUAUGGCGAAGGCAGCUCUCUGGGACGGUACUGACGCUGAGACGCGAAAGCGUGGGGAGCGAACAGG